CACAGAGUCGGACACGACUAAAGCGACUUAGCAGCAGGUUAUGGCUGUGUCCUGGGGAGAAUCCACAGUGCCCAAGAUGAGAGACGCUGUGGCCCUUGGAACAAGAGCCAGCUUCCCCAGAACAGCUUCAGACCGGCAAGGAGAGAGAAGCAAGGAUGCCUUGAUGUCUCAGAGGUGCUUCAGUUCAGUUCAGUCACUCUGUUGUGUCUGACUCUGCCACCCCAUGGACUGCGGCGCACCAGGCUUCCCUGUCCAUCACCAACUCCCGAAGCCUACUCAAACCCAUGUCCAUUGA